rnacentral:rRNA from 1 species
UUUAUUCUAAAUGAAUCUCGGCACAGGAUAUCUAGGCUCUCGCAUCGAUGAAGAACGCAUC